AACGAACGCUGGCGGCAGGCCUAACACAUGCAAGUCGAGCGAGGACUUCGGUUCUAGCGGCGGACGGGUGAGUAACGCGUGGGAAUGUGCCCUUCUCUACGGAAUAGCCCUGGGAAACUGGGAGUAAUACCGUAUACGCCCUAUUGGGGAAAGAUUUAUCGGAGAAGGAUCAGCCCGCGUGGGAUUAGGUAGUUGGUGGGGUAAUGGCCUACCAAGCCGACGAUCCAUAGCUGGUUUGAGAGGAUGAUCAGCCACACUGGGACUGAGACACGGCCCAGACUCCUACGGGAGGCAGCAGUGGGGAAUCUUAGACAAUGGGGGCAACCCUGAUCUAGCCAUGCCGCGUGAGUGAUGAAGGCCUUAGGGUUGUAAAGCUCUUUCAGCUGGGAAGAUAAUGACGGUACCAGCAGAAGAAGCCCCGGCUAACUCCGUG
rnacentral:rRNA from 1 species